GUGUGAAGAGGCUGACAGCGGCGUGGCCACCACCCAGGAUGGAGAGAAAGGCACUGUGAGGUGUUAAUGGAAAAAUCCAACUUCCUUUUCUUCCAAAGAUGAUGACUGAAACCAAAGUGGAGCUUUCCCUGAAACUUUCUGAGAUGCAAGUGGGUGUUAAAUGGUUCAGCAAAGCCAAGCCAGAGCAGUUGGUGUGCUUUGAAAUGAAGCAACAUUGGAAAAAUGAAAUCUACUGAAAGAUCACUACGUGUUUCAAAGGCCUUCAGACUCAGACUGGAACUGCACCGUUGGCUCUCCUGGGUGGGUCUCCAGCUUGCUGACCACAGACCUUGAGACUUCUCAGCCUUUAGAAUCAUGGAAGCCAAUUCCUUAUAAUAAUAUAUAUCCUUUUCCUAGUCUGUGGACUUUUCCCAGCUCCAGACAGACAACCUUCUAUAAACUCCAGGAUGCUCCAUCAAUGCCGUCUGGACUCUACAGAUUUUGACCCUGAAGUAAAGUAGGAAAGGCUAUGAGGACAUGUUAAAUGUUGUACUACCGCCUGAAGCCUUUUCUUCUUUAAAUUUUUCAACAAGAGUUGAAUGCACACGUGGAGCUUAAUUGGACAACAACUUUUCUCCUCUUCUGUGGGAUCCCGUCAGUGCUUUAAGCAAUGAGAAGGCAGCUCAUUUCCAAGUUUGUGUGGUAAAUUUGGGGCAAGUGGGAGAAAAGAAAGAAAGGCUGAGUCUUAUAGGGUGUGAUUUGGUUCUAGACAUGCUUAUGUUACUUUUUAUAAGAUUAUCCAUUUGACUAGAUUUCUUUCCUGCUGACAAAAGAGGCAAUUUCUACAUAUAAAAUAAAUCUGAUUAAAA
rnacentral:lncRNA from 1 species